UACGGAGGGUGCAAGCGUUAUCCGGAUUUAUUGGGUUUAAAGGGUGCGCAGGCGGGGCCUUAAGUCAGUGGUGAAAUCCCUUCGCUUAACGAAGGAACUGCCAUUGAUACUGAGGUUCUUGAAUCUAGUUGACGUUAGUGGAAUGUGUCAUGUAGCGGUGAAAUGCUUAGAUAUGACACAGAACACCGAUCGCGAAGGCAGCUAACGAAGCUAGUAUUGACGCUCAGGCACGACAGCAUGGGGAGCAAACAGG
rnacentral:rRNA from 1 species